AUUGAACGCUGGCGGCAUGCCUAACACAUGCAAGUCGAGCGGAGUGGCGGACGGGUGAGUAAUGUCUAGGAACCUGCCCGGUAGCGGGGGAUAACUUCGGGAAACGGGAGCUAAUACCGCAUACUAUCAGAGCGGCCUAGGUCGGAUUAGCUAGUUGGUGGGGUAAAGGCUUACCAAGGCGACGAUCCGUAGCUGGUUUGAGAGGAGGAUCAGCCACACUGGGACUGAGACACGGUCCAGACUCCUACGGGAGGCAGCAGUGGGGAAGUUUGGACAAUGGGGGAAAGCCUGAUCCAGCCAUGCCGCGUGUGUGAAGAAGGUCUUCGGGUUGUAAAGCACUUUUAGUAGGGAGGCGGUACCUGCAGAAUAAGCACCGGCUAACUACGUGCCAGCAGCCGCGGUAAUAC
rnacentral:rRNA from 1 species